AUCCAAAUGCGUCUGAGGGAGUAGACUGAAGCCUCGAGGAAAGCUCCUGCUGCCCUUCCUUCCUUCCUUCCAUCCAGUCUGGGAAGGGGCUCCGCGAUCCCUCUCUGUACUUCCCCCCAGAAGACUGCCUAAAUCCACAUACACCUCUUGAAAGGUCUCCUCUGAUCCCCCUCCUUCCCCUCGAUGCUCCUGGAGGCGGAUUUGGGAUUUGUGAGCGAUGCGAGUCCGGUGAGGCUGGAGUUUCCCUCCGGGACCCGAAGGAGGAUCGCUGGGCGGCGGUUCCUUGAGGGAGCGGGGCUGCAGGAUGAAUAAAAGAUACUUACAGAAAGCAACAAAAGGAAAACUGCUAAUAAUAAUAUUUGUUGUAACACUGUGGGGAAAAAUAGCAUCUGGGGCAAACCACCACAAAGCUCAUCAUGUUAAAACUGGAACUUGUGAAGUGGUGGCUCUCCAUCGGUGUUGCAAUAAGAACAAGAUAGAAGAAAGAUCACAGACAGUCAAGUGCUCCUGCUUUCCUGGGCAGGUAGCAGGUACCACUCGAGCAGCGCCUUCUUGUGUUGAUGCUUCAAUAGUGGAACAAAAAUGGUGGUGCCACAUGCAACCAUGUCUUGAAGGGGAGGAAUGCAAAGUUCUUCCAGAUCGCAAAGGAUGGAGUUGUUCUUCUGGGAAUAAAGUGAAAACAACAAGGGCAAACGUGUAAAAACCUUCAAGAACAAGGAGAUUUCUGCUGUGCCUGAUGACAAUUUUUGAUUAUUCCACACACACACAAUACUCUGGCUCCACGUUUGGAGCAAUAGUUGUGAUGAAUCAUAAUCUUGGUCGGGUUCUCAGGAAGGGCCAGAAGGUGCGUUGAGGAGUAAAGAGUGAAAACCACACCUGAAAGAUGUUCCAGCCUUGGUUUAUUACUCAAACAGCUGCAGGUAACUCGAUAGCAAAAGGCAAAUCAAAUCAAACUGAAGACUGAUAACAUUAAAUACAGCAAAGCAGGAAGUUUUAAUACCCAAGUAUAGUAAUUGAGGUUAGGUCUGAAACUACUGGGACAUGGUAAUUAUUUCAGUGAGAACUUGCAUGGUAAUGGGUAGUCACAUAGGAUCAAAAUUGCUGGAAAGUCAGAUUUGCGGACCUAUCUGUCAUAAAAAGUUCAAUGGACUGAACUGUGUACAUUUGUAAAAAUAGCAAACUUGAAGAAAUAGAUGAUUAUGGAAGUGCAGAGGUGAUGCUGAAAGGACACAAAAGAAACCAUAAUCUGUUGGAUUCUUGGAUUUCACCACUCUGUAAGAAGUUUAUGAAAUUUACUGAUCCAUUUCCUCUGCAACUUUUCUGGUCCCUCAUUUACAUUACAGGUGGGACUCUGCAGUGCUUUAAUCAAAUCACUGUUCCAGAAAUUGACCUCUGAUGCAGCACAAUUUUAGACACUUUUAAUUUGUAUUCUUAUCCUCAACCUCCAAGGCUACAUAUUUCAACACGUUGAAGUUCUUUUUCUUACAGGAAUGGAAAUAUAUAUCCAUUGUUAACCAUUAUUGUUGACAUGUAGUAGUUAUUCGCACACCACAUUCAUAUAUGAAUGUAUCAUUAGACAUGUUUCCUGACAGCUAUCCAGGUUCUCCAACUUCUUUCAGAUAAAUAAAAGGUGGUUAGAACUGAAUUUUCCUCUCCUCCAAUAUUUUAUGCUGUUAACCUAUCUGUUUUGUAUAAUUUCAAGAAGAUGGAUGUUCCUGUACACUCUAUGAUUUAUUAAUAUUAGGUCCAAAAAAGAUUGUGGAAAAUAAUAAAUGACAUUAGCUAGUCCCUUUAUGAAGGUAGACAGGGAUGCAUGUUAAUUUUUCAGUUCUGGGAUUUAAUAAUAUUCAUUCAGAUGUGUCUUUUAAGUUUGUUUUUAAAAAUGGCUAUCUCUUGCUUGGACAAUAUUACUAUCUAGAUGCUUAAGUUAGAUGUUUACUGAGCUCUGUUUCUUGAUAGAAAAAUAUUUUUCUUCAAAUCUGGAAUCAUUAAUGCUUUCUGUGACUUUUCAAAGUAUCUUAGAAUCAUUCUGUGGUUAUUUUGUUAAGCCUGAAAUUCUUCUUCGAUCUUCUGUUUCGGUAUCUUUUUAAAAAAUCUUGUUCAUUUGUUUCAUAGAAAAUCUUUAAUGUUUAAAUGCCUUAAGCAGCUGUAAACAUUUCCCCCCUAAGUUAUUACAGAAUGUAUAAUUUUAUAUGCCAUUUAAUAUAUGCUGUACUAUCUGAAAACAUGAGGACAAAGAGAGCUGACUGUUUCUUCUGCAUUUCACAAUCAUGCUAUAAAUUGUUUUGGGAGAAGACAAAGAGCAAAAUUUAUAUUCUUUUGUUUUGUGUGUUGAUAUGAAGACUAAUGGACUGAGUCCUAACAGAAAUAGUGGUGUCCAAAAUCUCAUAUUGUUUCUUCAAAUGCUUACUGGUAUUUCUGAAAAUAAAGUGAAUUCUUUCCAAUUGUCCUAAGUGACUGGCAUGACUAAUUAGUAAUAAAUCAGGUUCUAUGAUGGAUGAAUGCCCAGAGACACUCUGCCCUGUCACCUAAUGCAAGAUUGCUCCACAACAAUUUAAUUACCUCUCUUGUAUUAUGGCACUGGACAAUGGAAGCUAAUGAUUGUUAAAAAUGGAUUUGAGUUGCAUUGUCUCAUUCUGCUACAUACUAAUCCAAUUUUUGCAGGAAAGGUAUUUUUUACCCAUACAUUUUUGAUUAGGGAAAUUAGUUGUAGCAUCAAUCAGUUAUCUUGGUAUUUAAAAAAAUUAAUAUUGUAUAGAUUUUGAUUUUUAACAUAUCCAUAUUGGGGAAAUAUCUAAUUUGAAAAUCAUGAUGAAUUUCUUUGCUUGGUACAGGACACAAUAGAAAUGCAUAAUUUUGUAGCUGUUAUCAGUUUGUUCACAAUUUAGCCAAAAUUCUACAAUGUGCUUCUCGGCAUUUAUUUUCUUUAUGGUAUUCUUAAAACCAACACUGAAAAUAUUGUAUUAUAUACAAGUGUAAAACAUGCAUAUCAAUAGGUGAAAAUAAAUGGAUUUUCAAAUACA